rnacentral:piRNA from 1 species
GGUGACAAGCUGAAAUACAGGGGU